rnacentral:rRNA from 1 species
UAGAAUUCCACGUGUAGCGGUGAAAUGCGUAGAGAUGUGGAGGAAUACCGGUGGCGAAGGCGGCCUUCUGGACAGAUACUGACGCUGAGAUGCGAAAGCGUGGGGAGCAAACAGGAUUAGAUACCCUGGUAGUCCACGCUGUAAACGAUGUCGAUUUGGAGUUUGUUGCCUAGAGUGAUGGGCUCCGAAGCUAACGCGAUAAAUCGACCGCCUGGGGAGUACGGCCGCAAGGUUAAAACUCAAAUGAAUUGACGGGGGCCCGCACAAGCGGUGGAGCAUGUGGUUUAAUUCGAUGCAACGCGAAGAACCUUACCUGGUCUUGACAUCCACAGAAUCUUGCAGAGAUGCGAGAGUGCCUUCGGGAACUGUGAGACAGGUGCUGCAUGGCUGUCGUCAGCUCGUGUUGUGAAAUGUUGGGUUAAGUCCCGCAACGAGCGCAACCCUUAUCCUUUGUUGCCAGCGAUUCGGUCGGGAACUCAAAGGAGACUGCCGUUGAUAAAGCGGAGGAAGGUGGGGACGACGUCAAGUCAUCAUGGCCCUUACGACCAGGGCUACACACGUGCUACAAUGGCGUAUACAAAGGGAGGCGACCUCGCGAGAGCAAGCGGACCUCAUAAAGUACGUCUAAGUCCGGAUUGGAGUCUGCAACUCGACUCCAUGAAGUCGGAAUCGCUAGUAAUCGUGAAUCAGAAAGU